AUCCAGCUGACGAGUCCCAAAUGGGACGAAACGCACGUCGUGGAU
rnacentral:hammerhead_ribozyme from 1 species